AAUAUUGUAUUUCAUUUAAUAUUUUAUAAUUGUAGUGAUGCCGUGAUGAGCUUUCCUGAUGUCUCCUUCAGAACGUAGGUACUCAUCUCCCCUGCCUCUGGGAGAUAUGAAUGGUGAUGUGUCUGAGCUGAGUCUCCCUGUUUGGAGUUACCCUCAGCCAAAGAAGGUUGUUUUGCCAAAGUCAUGUCCCUUCUACAGGGGUCAACAAGACCCAAUGUCUGAUAGAUGUGGAGCUGUAGGGGUUCAGGUCCCUUGGCUUAGGAUGGUACAACACGGAACAAUGACUCCAAUUUCAGUGCUCCCUUUUGGAUCAACUGAAGCCUCAGUCAUAGCUGUGUUGUACUUCAAUUUCUCCCCCUGGUCAGUCCUAUGUUAUUUAUUCUCUCUCAGGUGUUGAUCCCCCCCGCCAAGUGUGCUCCCCAGGUUUCUGUCCUUCAUGCACAUUUUUGUCUCAGCGUGUAUCCUGGGAAAUCUGAGCUUAAACAAUUGGUUUCAGGUGUUGUCUAAGAAGUCAGACUUGAAAAUGGAUUUUGAAGUUGGACCACUAGCCAGUUAACUAACUGUGGGAGCCCUGUCAUUAAUGAUAAAUGAAGAACCUGAAUCCACUGACUUUGAGAAAAUCAAAAAGGACAUUAUUCUGGGUGGACCUGUCUUAAAUGAGGACAGAGGAAGGAUGUUCUGUUUCCCAGAGCCACGGUUACUAUGAAAAUGAAGAAAUCAUUCAGAUUUGUGAAAUGAGAAACUGGGACAUUCUACGGGUAAGAGAAGAAAGCCUCAAGUGAGCCUGCGUACAACUCCAGUAAAUACACAGCACAUGCAGCCCCUUCAAAGUGCUGGCAGGCCACUGCACAUGGACACCCCACUCCAAGAGAACAAUCAGGGAAGAAGGAAGUCAAGACUCCAGAAGCAUGACAACAUAUAAAGCCCGAAGUCAAAAGGUCAGACCUGCACUUCAUCUCUCAAGUCGCCUACUCAGCUCGCUUUCAAGUGUAUUUUCCUCCUUUUCAUUUUUGCUCUAAAGCUUUCAAUUAACAUUCACUCCCACUCUAAAACUUGCCUUGGUCUCUCCUUCUGCCUUAUGCCCUUCAGUUGAAUUUUUUCUUCUGAGGAGGCAAGAAUUGAGGUUACUGUGGUCUCAUACAGAUUCGCUGCUGAUAACAUACUUUGGUGCUUGAGUGACUCAGACAUGUUCCACUGCCAGCAAAAGUGCUUUGUCCAUAAAAGAAGGAAACAAUGGCAAUGGUUGUCCUCCUUUCCUCUUCUGAGCCUCAGAAAAACCCCAGAGAACAAUUAGUUUGUUUAAUAAAUGCGUUCUACUGCAUUGUGCUGAUUUAAGGUACUAGGUAUUUAAAAUAAAACCUAGGGCACAUGAAAAUGUUAGAGUUUGUUAGAGCAGACAGUGACUCAUGAAUCAAGCAGUGCUAGACCCCAAGGGGUUCAGGCCUUCAUUGAGAGGUCUCAAGGGGAAAACUUUUAUAAGGUGUUUGUGGAAACAAGACAAAAAAUGAUACUUGGUUGGUUAAAGUGGAAAGUCCCUAGUUAGAGGUUAGUUGGCAGUUUUGUAUUGGUUAAGCCUAAGUUUCGUUUUAUUUGUUUUCGGGUUGCGUUUUGAUCUGUUUAUGGAGGAACCUUAG
rnacentral:lncRNA from 1 species